rnacentral:rRNA from 1 species
UACGUAGGGGGCUAGCGUUGUCCGGAAUCAUUGGGCGUAAAGAGCGUGUAGGCGGCCUUACAGGUCAGCUGUGAAAACUCGAGGCUCAACCUCGAGACGUCGGUUGAAGCCGUAAGGCUAGAGUCCGGAAGAGGAGAGUGGAAUUCCCGGUGUAGCGGUGAAAUGCGCAGAUAUCGGGAAGAACACCCGUGGCGAAGGCGGCUCUCUGGGACGGUACUGACGCUGAGACGCGAAAAGCGUGGGGGGAGCGAAACAGGG